rnacentral:rRNA from 1 species
UACGUAGGUGACCAGCGUUGUCCGGAUUUACUGGGCGUAAAGAGCGCGCAGGCGGUCGUUCAAGUCGAGUGUGAAAGCCCCCGGCUCAACUGGGGAGGGUCAUUCGAUACUGAUCGACUGGAAGGCAGGAGAGGGAAGCGGAAUUCCCGGUGUAGUGGUGAAAUGCGUAGAUAUCGGGAGGAACACCAGUGGCGAAGGCGGCUUCCUGGCCUGUUCUUGACGCUGAGGCGCGAGAGCUAGGGGAGCAAACGGG